rnacentral:rRNA from 1 species
GACGAACGCUGGCGGCGUGCUUAACACAUGCAAGUCGAACGGAGUGGCGAACGGGUGAGUAACACGUGGGUGAUCUGCCUUGCACUUCGGGAUAAGCCUGGGAAACUGGGUCUAAUACCGGAUAGUGCAAGAUGAGCUCGCGGCCUGUCGGCUUGUUGAUGGGGUAAUGUCCUGCCAAGGCGUCGACGGGUAGCCGGUCUGAGAGGGUGUACGGCCAAAGUGGGACUGAGAUACGGGCCAGACGCCUACGGGAGGGAGCAGUGAGGAUUAUUGCACAAUGGGCGGAAGCCUGAUGCAGGGACGCCGCGUGGGGGAGGAAGGCCUUCGGGUUGUAAACUCCUUUCGACAGGGACGCGGUACCUGUAUAAGAAGCACCGGCUAACUACGUGCCAGCAGCCGCGGUAAUAC